ensembl:lncRNA
GGCAGGGGCUCGAGGCACUAUUUACCAAGGAUGACAUACUUCUCAUGGAACCAGAUGUGGUUCUGUGUGACUUGCAGAUCCCAGUGGCACUUGUGGAAGCUGUUAGGUUGUGUACUUGGGCCCUCGUAAAAAACACUUUCAUAAAAAAAUUUUCAAAAAAAUAUUUUAAAAGGAACUGAGCGACUCCACUCCCACCUUGCUGGCGUGAGGCGGUCAUAUUCAGCCGGAGAGGAAGCUUCUUCUAUGGAGUGGAGGUGAAGCACAUUGCCGUGACCACAGCACAACAGAGCCUGGAACUCAGCCCUGGGAAGGGACGACUUUCUGUCCUCAGAUGUCAAGUCGCCAUCCAGCAGGGCAAUACAGGAAACAUGAGACAGUGGGAGGAAGAGAGAAGGAACAAGGGAUUCCUCAGAGCUUCUGCUGUACCCCAACUCCCCUAGAAGCUAUCCCUACUUUAGCUGAGCAUCCAUUGGAAUGGCCCAAGUGCUAGCCUGGUGAUGGGCCUGGCCGAGGAGGACGUGUGAUUUGGGGUCAUUAAGAACCUCUCAUAGAUCCUGGAAAUGCAGUGUGUUUUUAAGUGGAUUGCUUUACCAGUGAGCAUUAAAAGUGUUU